UAAAUCUUGGAUGACCUGAGGGAUGAAGAUCAGGAAUAAAACUAGAGCCAUCAGACCCACCACGGAGCCCACUGUGGCCCCGGCGAUCACCCAGGCAUUGUUAGCUGCGGCCACAAGAGGAACAGGUCUAUUCCCUUACCCAGGUAUCCCAGCACAAGCACAGGCUGGGGGCAGGACCUCCACUCU